GGCAUUACUAUCAGCCAGGCUGUUGAGGCUACUAGAAAUGUCCCUGCGCCGGAAAAGACAGACAACCUUUGCCUCCACAUUUCCAUUUGCAGUCUAAGGGGAGGAAAAAAACAAAAACAAAACAACGUAGCAGUGGAAAUUGAUCAUCUGGGAACAGAAAUGCACAAAGAGACAAAUAACAGUAAGUUUCAGAGGGACCUAAAUUAAAAAGCCCAAGAAAAUAUGAGUAAAGACUUACAUUCA
rnacentral:lncRNA from 1 species